rnacentral:rRNA from 1 species
UGGGGAAUAUUGCACAAUGGGGGAAACCCUGAUGCAGCGACGCCGCGUGAGCGAAGAAGGUUUUCGAAUCGUAAAGCUCUGUCCUAUGAGAAGAUAAUGACGGUAUCAUAGGAGGAAGCCCCGGCUAAAUACGUGCCAGCAGCCGCGGUAAUACGUAUGGGGCGAGCGUUGUCCGGAAUUAUUGGGCGUAAAGGGUACGUAGGCGGUCUAUUAAGUCAGGUGUGAAAGCGUGAGGUUUAACCUCAUUAAGCACUUGAAACUGAUAGACUUGAGUGAAGGAGAGGAAAGUGGAAUUCCUAGUGUAGCGGUGAAAUGCGUAGAUAUUAGGAGGAAUACCGGUGGCGAAGGCGACUUUCUGGACUUUUACUGACGCUCAGGUACGAAAGCGUGGGGAGCAAACAGG